rnacentral:rRNA from 1 species
GCUUGCAGCUAGCUCUCUGCAACUCUUACAUGGUCACCCACUGAAGCUAAGCAGGGCUGUGCCUGGUCAGUAGCUGGAUGGGAAACCACAUGGGAAAGCUAGGUUGCUGUUGGAA